rnacentral:rRNA from 14 species
UGCAUGGCUGUCGUCAGCUCGUGUCGUGAGAUGUUGGGUUAAGUCCCGCAACGAGCGCAACCCCCAUCUUCAGUUGCCAGCGGUUCGGCCGGGCACUCUGGAGAAACUGCCGGUGAUAAGCCGGAGGAAGGCGGGGAUGACGUCAAGUCCUCAUGGCCCUUAUGGGCUGGGCUACACACGUGCUACAAUGGCCGGUACAGAGGGACGCGAAGCAGCGAUGUGGAGCAAAUCUCAUAAAGCCGGUCUCAGUUCGGAUUGAAGUCUGCAACUCGACUUCAUGAAGCCGGAAUCGCUAGUAAUCGGAGAUCAGCUACGCUCCGGUGAAUACGUUCCUGAGCCUUGUACACACCGCCCGUCAAGUCAU